UACGUAGGGGGCAAGCGUUGUCCGGAAUCAUUGGGCGUAAAGAGCGUGUAGGCGGCUCGAUAAGUCUGCUGUGAAAGUCCAGGGCUCAACCCUGGAAGGCCGGUGGAAACUGUCGGGCUAGAGUCCGGAAGGGGCGAGUGGAACUCCUGGUGUAGCGGUGAAAUGCGCAGAUAUCAGGAAGAACACCAAUGGCGAAGGCAGCUCGCUAGGACGGUACUGACGCUGAGGCGCGAAAGCGUGGGGAGCGAACAGG
rnacentral:rRNA from 1 species